GACAGAGGAUGCAAGCGUUAUCCGGAAUGAUUGGGCGUAAAGCGUCUGUAGGUGGCUUUUCAAGUCCGCCGUCGAAUCCCAGGGCUCAACCCUGGACAGGCGGUGGAAACUACCAAGCUGGAGUACGGUAGGGGCAGAGGGAAUUUCCGGUGGAGCGGUGAAAUGCAUUGAGAUCGGAAAGAACACCAACGGCGAAAGCACUACUGCUGGCCGACACUGACACUGAGGCGCGAAAGCCAGGGGAGCAAACGGG
rnacentral:rRNA from 1 species